CCUACGGGAGGCAGCAGUGAGGAAUAUUGGUCAAUGGACGAGAGUCUGAACCAGCCAAGUAGCGUGAAGGAUGACUGCCCUAUGGGUUGUAAACUUCUUUUAUAUGGGAAUAAAACGUUCCACGUGUGGGAUUUUGUAUGUACCAUAUGAAUAAGGAUCGGCUAACUCCGUGCCAGCAGCCGCGGUAAUACGGAGGAUCCGAGCGUUAUCCGGAUUUAUUGGGUUUAAAGGGAGCGUAGGUGGAUUGUUAAGUCAGUUGUGAAAGUUGGCGGCUCAACCGUAAAAUUGCAGUUGAAACUGGCAGUCUUGAGUACAGUAGAGGUGGGCGGAAUUCGUGGUGUAGCGGUGAAAUGCUUAGAUAUCACGAAGAACUCCGAUUGCGAAGGCAGUUCACUGGACUGCAACUGACACUGAGGCUCGAAAGUGUGGGUAUCAAACAGGAUUAGAUACCCUUGUAGUC
rnacentral:rRNA from 1 species